GAUAGUGUUAACUUGUAGUGAUGAAAGAGUGUAAUUGUGAAAGAAUGCGAUUGAUAUUGCCAUUGUGCGUUUUCCAAAGAUUCUUCACUACACAAAAUCCUUGAAUAUAUUUCGCUAAGUUCU
rnacentral:rRNA from 1 species